ensembl:lncRNA
ACUGAUUUGGCCAUUUUGGUGUUGUUUGGUCAAUGUCCUUCAGAAUAAUGUGUUGGUCGAUGACCUCUAGGCUGCACCAUAAGAGGUCAUAGCCUUCUGUGGAGCAACCUGGACCUGCUGUGGACCUGAUGGUGUCCCCAGCCUUAGGUCCCUGGGGUUAGGGUCCCCAUGGUUAGGUCCCCAGGGUUAGGGUACCCAUGGUUAGGUCCCCGGGGUUACUGUUCCCAGGGUUACGGUCCCCAAGGUUAUGGUCCCCAGGGUUAUGGUCCCCAGGGUUAGGUCCCCAUGGUUAGGGUUCCCAGGGUUACGGUCCCCAGGGUUAGGGUUCCCAGGGUUAGGUCCCCAGGGUUAGGUCCCCAGGGUUAGGUUCCCAGGGUUACUGUUCCCAGGGUUACGGUCCCCAGGUUAGGGUUAGGUCCCCAUGGUUACUGUUCCCAGGGUUACGGUCCCCAGGGUUAGGUCCCCAGGGUUAGGUCCCCAGGGUUAGGGUUCCCAGGGUUAGGUCCCCAUGGUUAGGUCCCCAUGGUUAGGGUCCCCAUGGUUAGGUCCCCAUGGUUAGGGUCCCCAGGGUUAGGUCCCCAGGGUUACGGUCCCCAAGGUUACGGUCCCCAGUGUUACAGUCCCCAGGGUUAGGUCCCCAGGGUUACGGUCCCCAGGGUUAGGUCCCCAGGGUUAGGGUUCCCAGGGUUAGGGUCCCCAGUGUUAGGGUCCCCAGGGUUACGGUCCCCAGGGUUAUAGUCCCCAGGGUUACGGUCCCCAGUGUUACGGUCCCCAGGGUUAGGGUUCCCAGGGCACACCAUGGUGAUUCUCAGGCUGAUGGGAGAUAAUAUAGGAAGGGUCAAAAGGAUAUUUAGUGAUUCAUUUUCACAUCUGUUGUUUGUUGCUCAUCAGUCAGCAGCUGGUAGUUGGAUCAGAAAGGAUAGAAUUACAUUAAAUAUUUGUUUUGUGCGCCAAUAAUGACAUCUUUACUGUAAAUUAAAAUAGCGUUAAUUAAUUGCCAAUUACAUGUUUAUGAACAUUAUUGGCUAUAUCCCACAGAAUGUGAUGUUAGAUUGAGAUCUCUUUCUGUGCUAGUCCUAUCUCUCUAGGCUGCCCGUUAACUGACCUCUGACCUCUCUACACCUGCCCAGUAACUGACCUCUGAGUUCUUAAUGGGUUCUUCUUAUUUUACUGUACACAACCUCAGGGUCAGUGGUGACACUAUGGAAGCCUUGGCUUUUCAUAGCAGAGUGUGAGAGUGUGAGAGUGUGUGUGUGUG